UAUCUAUACAUUAUAUACACACCAUUCCCACGUUACUCUCUAUUAUAUACACACCAUUCCCACAUUACUCUCUAUCUAUAUAUUAUAUACACACCGUUCCCACGUUACUCUCUAUCUAUAUACACACCAUUCCCACAUUACUCUCUAUUAUAUACACACCAUUCCCACGUUACUCUUUAUCUAUACAUUAUAUACACACCAUUCCCACGUUACUCUCUAUUAUAUACACACCAUUCCCACAUUACUCUCUAUCUAUAUAUUAUAUACACACCGUUCCCACGUUACUCUCUAUCUAUAUACACACCAUUCCCACAUUACUCUCUAUUAUAUACACACCAUUCCCACGUUACUCUCUAUCUAUAUAUUAUAUACACACCGUUCCCACGUUACUCUCUAUCUAUACAUUAUAUACACACCGUUCCCACGUUACUCUCUAUCUAUACAUUAUAUACACACCAUUCCACGUUACUCUCUAUAUAUUAUACACACACCAUUCCACGUUACUCUCUAUAUAUUAUACACACACCAUUCCACGUUACUCUCUAUCUAUACAUUAUAUACACACACACCAUUCCCACGUUACUCUCUAUAUAUUAUACACACACCAUUCCACGUUACUCUCUAUCUAUACAUUAUAUACACACACACCAUUCCACGUUACUCUCUAUCUAUACAUUAUACACACACACACACACACACCAUUCCACGUUACUCUCUAUAUAUUAUACACACCCACCAUUCCACGUUACUCUCUAUAUAUUAUACACCCACCAUUCCACGUUACUCUCUAUAUAUUAUACACACACCAUUCCACGUUACUCUCUAUCUAUACAUUAUAUACACACACCAUUCAUUCCCUCGGUUCAUUAUCGCACUGUUUGCUUUAUAUAUACACAUGGCUGCACUCACACGAAUGAGAGUUUAUUUUGCUUUAUU